rnacentral:misc_RNA from 1 species
UUAAGUUCAGCGGGUAUCCCUACCUGAUUCGAGGAGUUCACGUGUCUUGCUCUCCCCCGCCCGACAGACGGGCAAGGGCUGGCAGCCUCGCCGCGUGCGAGCGCCAAUGCGUCAUAUCACGCUCGGCAACGCGGCAGGCGUCCGCCCAUGUAUUCCAGCGCGGUGGCCGCCGCCUCGGGCACGCCACCGCCGCCACGACC